GCCAGUGUGGCAUAGUGGUUUGAGCACUGGACUAUGACUCUGGAAAACAGGGUUUAAAUCCCUGCUCGGUCA